rnacentral:sRNA from 1 species
GCCAGGUGCGGUGGUGCCUGCCUGUAAUCCCAGCGGCUAGGGAGGCUGAGGCAGGAGGAUCACAAGUUCAAGGCCAGACUCAACAACUUAAGGAGGUCCUAAGCAACUCAGUGAGAUCCUGUUUUAA